UACGGAGGGUGCAAGCGUUAUUCGGAAUCACUGGGCGUAAAGGACGCGUAGGCGGGAUAGUAAGUCUGAUGUGAAAUCCUAUGGCUUAACCAUAGAACUGCAUUGGAAACUACUAACCUAGAGUAUGGGAGGGGGAGAUGGAAUUAGUGGUGUAGGGGUAAAAUCCGUAGAUAUCACUAGGAAUACCGAAAGCGAAGGCGAUCUCCUGGAACAAUACUGACGCUAAGGCGUGAAAGCGUGGGGAGCAAACGGG
rnacentral:rRNA from 1 species